AAACAGUUAGCUCAGUUGGGUAGAGCAACAUUGGAAACGAUGUAGGUCGUAAGUUCAAAUCUUACACUGUUUC
rnacentral:tRNA from 1 species